CCGGUUUCGUCAGCGCCGACCUCCUCCCCGGCCCUGACGGACAAGGCCAGCCUUUACCUCCUCCCAGAGGUUGGCCACCGAAACGGCGCCCGUCGGACCUCCUCCCCCGGCGGGCGUUGUAA
rnacentral:sRNA from 1 species